CCUUUAGAUGUUCUGGGCCGCACGCGUGCUACACUGAGUGGAUCAGCGGGUCAGGUUGCGCGAAAGCGUUUCCUAAUCUUUAAAUCCGCUCGUGAUGGGGAUUGACGGUUGCAAUUAUCUGUCAUGAACGAGGAAUACCUUGUAAGCGCGGGUCAUCAUCCCGCGCUGAAUACGUCCCUGCCCUUUGUACACACCGCCCGUCGCUCCUACCGAUUGAGUGGUCCGGUGAGGCUUUGGGAUCUGAGCGGAAAGAGCGUUUCGCUGUUUCUGCUCGGAAAACUCAGUCGAACCUUAUCAUUUAGAGGAAGGAGAAGUCGUAACA
rnacentral:rRNA from 1 species